CGUACCUUUUGUAUAAUGGGUCAGCGACUUAUAUUCUGUAGCAAGGUUAACCGAAUAGGGGAGCCGAAGGGAAACCGAGUCUUAACUGGGCGUUAAGUUGCAGGGUAUAGACCCGAAACCCGGUGAUCUAGCCAUGGGCAGGUUGAAGGUUGGGUAACACUAACUGGAGGACCGAACCGACUAAUGUUGAAAAAUUAGCGGAUGACUUGUGGCUGGGGGUGAAAGGCCAAUCAAACCGGGAGAUAGCUGGUUCUCCCCGAAAGCUAUUUAGGUAGCGCCUCGUGAAUUCAUCUCCGGGGGUAGAGCACUGUUUCGGCAAGGGGGUCAUCCCGACUUACCAACCCGAUGCAAACUGCGAAUACCGGAGAAUGUUAUCACGGGAGACACACGGCGGGUGCUAACGUCCGUCGUGAAGAGGGAAACAACCCAGACCGCCAGCUAAGGUCCCAAAGUCAUGGUUAAGUGGGAAACGAUGUGGGAAGGCCCAGACAGCCAGGAUGUUGGCUUAGAAGCAGCCAUCAUUUAAAGAAAGCGUAAUAGCUCACUGGUCGAGUCGGCCUGCGCGGAAGAUGUAACGGGGCUAAACCAUGCACCGAAGCUGCGGCAGCGACGCUGAUGCGUUGUUGGGUAGGGGAGCGUUCUGUAAGCCUGUGAAGGUGUGCUGUGAGGCAUGCUGGAGGUAUCAGAAGUGCGAAUGCUGACAUAAGUAACGAUAAAGCGGGUGAAAAGCCCGCUCGCCGGAAGACCAAGGGUUCCUGUCCAACGUUAAUCGGGGCAGGGUGAGUCGACCCCUAAGGCGAGGCCGAAAGGCGUAGUCGAUGGGAAACAGGUUAAUAUUCCUGUACUUGGUGUUACUGCGAAGGGGGGACGGAGAAGGCUAUGUUGGCCGGGCGACGGUUGUCCCGGUUUAAGCGUGUAGGCUGGUUUUCCAGGCAAAUCCGGAAAAUCAAGGCUGAGGCGUGAUGACGAGGCACUACGGUGCUGAAGCAACAAAUGCCCUGCUUCCAGGAAAAGCCUCUAAGCAUCAGGUAACAUCAAAUCGUACCCCAAACCGACACAGGUGGUCAGGUAGAGAAUACCAAGGCGCUUGAGAGAACUCGGGUGAAGGAACUAGGCAAAAUGGUGCCGUAACUUCGGGAGAAGGCACGCUGAUAUGUAGGUGAAGUCCCUCGCGGAUGGAGCUGAAAUCAGUCGAAGAUACCAGCUGGCUGCAACUGUUUAUUAAAAACACAGCACUGUGCAAACACGAAAGUGGACGUAUACGGUGUGACGCCUGCCCGGUGCCGGAAGGUUAAUUGAUGGGGUCAGCGCAAGCGAAGCUCUUGAUCGAAGCCCCGGUAAACGGCGGCCGUAACUAUAACGGUCCUAAGGUAGCGAAAUUCCUUGUCGGGUAAGUUCCGACCUGCACGAAUGGCGUAAUGAUGGCCAGGCUGUCUCCACCCGAGACUCAGUGAAAUUGAACUCGCUGUGAAGAUGCAGUGUACCCGCGGCAAGACGGAAAGACCCCGUGAACCUUUACUAUAGCUUGACACUGAACAUUGAGCCUUGAUGUGUAGGAUAGGUGGGAGGCUUUGAAGUGUGGACGCCAGUCUGCAUGGAGCCGACCUUGAAAUACCACCCUUUAAUGUUUGAUGUUCUAACGUUGACCCGUAAUCCGGGUUGCGGACAGUGUCUGGUGGGUAGUUUGACUGGGGCGGUCUCCUCCUAAAGAGUAACGGAGGAGCACGAAGGUUGGCUAAUCCUGGUCGGACAUCAGGAGGUUAGUGCAAUGGCAUAAGCCAGCUUGACUGCGAGCGUGACGGCGCGAGCAGGUGCGAAAGCAGGUCAUAGUGAUCCGGUGGUUCUGAAUGGAAGGGCCAUCGCUCAACGGAUAAAAGGUACUCCGGGGAUAACAGGCUGAUACCGCCCAAGAGUUCAUAUCGACGGCGGUGUUUGGCACCUCGAUGUCGGCUCAUCACAUCCUGGGGCUGAAGUAGGUCCCAAGGGUAUGGCUGUUCGCCAUUUAAAGUGGUACGCGAGCUGGGUUUAGAACGUCGUGAGACAGUUCGGUCCCUAUCUGCCGUGGGCGCUGGAGAACUGAGGGGGGCUGCUCCUAGUACGAGAGGACCGGAGUGGACGCAUCACUGGUGUUCGGGUUGUCAUGCCAAUGGCACUGCCCGGUAGCUAAAUGCGGAAGAGAUAAGUGCUGAAAGCAUCUAAGCACGAAACUUGCCCCGAGAUGAGUUCUCCCUGACUCCUUGA
rnacentral:rRNA from 1 species